UCCCUCGUGGUCCAGUGGCUAAGACUCCAUGCUUCCAAAGCAGGGAGCCCAGGUUUGAUCCCUGGUGAGGGAA
rfam:TPA: Bos taurus chromosome 1, whole genome shotgun sequence.